rnacentral:rRNA from 1 species
CGGCGACGCCCCUUUCAAAUGUCUGCCUUAUCAACUUUCGAUGGUAGUUUCUGCGACUACCAUGGUUGUCACGGGUAACGGGGAAUCAGGGUUCGAUUCCGGAGAGGGAGCCUGAGAAACGGCUACCACAUCCAAGGAAGGCAGCAGGCGCGCAAAUUACCCACUCCCGGCACGGGGAGGUAGUGACGAAAAAUAACGAUACGGGACUCUAACGAGGCCUCGUAAUCGGAAUGAGUACACUUUAAAUAUUUUAACGAGGAACAAUUGGAGGGCAAGUCUGGUGCCAGCAGCCGCGGUAAUUCCAGCUCCAAUAGCGUAUACUAAAAUUGUUGCGGUUAAAAAGCUCGUAGUUGCAUUUGUGCGCCGCGCUGUCGGUGCACCGCAUUAGCGGUGAUACUGACACGUUUGCGGAGCAUAUCGUCGGUGAG